GACCAAAAGACUAAGUUAUAUUAAAUAGGUUAAAAGAUAGUUAAGUGUAGAAAAAAGGUUUAAUAACUUUCUAUAAAAAGGUAAAAUUUGAAUAUAAGUAAAGUGAUUUUUUUAAGACUAAAAUACUGAAGCUAUGAUAAUUUUGAGGGAAACUGGGAUUAGAUACCCCAUUAUUCAUAAUUGUAAAUGGAUGUUAAUUUACCAGAGUACUAUGAAUAUCUAAAAUUUAAAACUCAAAGAGCUUGGCGGUGUUUUAGACCAAUUAGGGGAACCUGUCUCAUAAUCGACAGUCCACGUAAUAUCUAGCCUUUUUUAGUAAAUCAGUUUGUAUACCGUCGUCGUCAGGUAACUUUUAAAAAUUUAGAAGUUGGCAAUGAUAAUAUUGUUGGUUAAGACGUCAGAUCAAGGUGCAGCUCAUGAAAAGGGGAGGAUGGGUUACAAUUAUAUAAUUAUAACUACGGAUAGUUUAAUGAAAGAAGCUUUAAGGAGGACUUAAAAGUAAUAUUGUAAUAUAUAAAUAAUUUGAAUUAGGCUCUGAAACGUGC
rnacentral:rRNA from 1 species